AACGAACGCUGGCGGCAGGCUUAACACAUGCAAGUCGAACGUGAAGCUGGAGCUUGCUCCAGUGGAAAGUGGCAGACGGGUGAGUAACGCGUGGGAAUUUACCCAGUGGUUCGGAAUAACUUCGGGAAACCGGAGCUAAUACCGAAUACGCCCUCCGGGGGAAAGAUUUAUCGCCAUUGGAUGAGCCCGCGUCGGAUUAGCUAGUUGGUGGGGUAAAAGCCUACCAAGGCGACGAUCCGUAGCUGGUCUGAGAGGAUGAUCAGCCACACUGGGACUGAGACACGGCCCAGACUCCUACGGGAGGCAGCAGUGGGGAAUAUUGCACAAUGGGCGCAAGCCUGAUGCAGCCAUGCCGCGUGAGUGAAGAAGGCCUUAGGGUUGUAAAACUCUUUCACCGGUGAAGAUAAUGACGGUAGCCGGAGAAGAAGCCCG
rnacentral:rRNA from 1 species